AAUUCACGGACCAAAAGGAGGUCUAGAAGCCCUGGUCUGAGCCCCCUCCAAUGGAGGGUGAAAUUCCCACGUGAGCCCCAGGGCGGGAGAAGGAGGCGCUCCGGAGACGCUGACUCUGCGGCCAGGACGAGUAGGCGGGACUACAGACCCGCGCCACCACAACCAGCUAAUAUUUUAAUUUUUUGUAGAGAUGGGGCCUCCCUAUGUUGCCCAUGCUGGUCUCAAACUCCUGGGAUCAAGAAAUCCUCCUGCCUUGGCUUCCCAAGGUGCUGGGAUUACAGAUGUGAGCCUGGUCUGUGAAUUUGAAUGGGGAAAAAUCCGACCUUUAUUCUCAAAUGGCCUCUGAUGUGACUGCAUUCCUCUAAUUCAUUCAAUUGCGGAUAUAAGGAAGAAGCCACAUUCAUAGUUGCAGGGCCUGUGACUUUGUCACCAACAGAAUUCACAGGCGGAAUCAGGGUGGUGACCUCGGCCACAUCACCGUCAUAGAGCUUCUUCACAGCCUGUUUGAUCUGGUGCUUGUUGGCUUUAACAUCCACAGUGAACAAAAGCGUGUUGUUUUCUUCUGUCCUCUUCACGGCCGACUCCGUGGUCAGCGGAAACUUGAUGACAGCAUAGUGGCCAAGCUUGUUUCUCCUGGGGGUGCUCUUCCAAGGAUAUUCAGGCCGCCUCCGGCGUCGCAGUGUCUUGGGCCGCUGGAAGAAGAGUCUCUCCAUUGCCAACACUCUGUGACUUAGCAGACGUCUCUGGACUUCCGUCUGGGGAUUCUUACCCACCUUCAAGUUCACCAGCCCUCAGCUGGAGCACUGGAAGUGGGGGCUCUGCCGCUUCUCUCCCUCUCCGCUACUGCUGCACCUGGUGGACCAUUUCCAAGCAGCACAGCGCUUCCUGUCUUUCCUGUCUCGGCCACGCUCUGUCUCGUUUAGACCCCGUAUGAAUGAUUUGAAUGUCCCACCGGCCAGUGACACGCAUGUAGGCGGUGCCACAUUGACUCACUGGACGCAUGCAGUGUGCCACUUCCGUGAACGUACCUGGAGGGAAAAACGCAGAGGUGGAAUUCCCGAGGGAAGGUCAUUGCUGCUGUUACUUCAGUGGACAAGUCGGGGGGGUUCCCACGAGGCUCCCACAUCCUCUGCCUGCUGCAAGCAGUGUCUGUGGGCCACAGUCUCACCUGUUAGUACAGUUUUUAUUUGCCAAUGUGUUAGGUGAAAGGAAAAAGAAGUCACUUUAAUGGGGUUUUCCUUUAAUUUUUUUUUUUUUUAAACUUUUUACCCUCACAUCCUGGGAAGGACACUUUAGUGUUUUGUUUUUUGUUUUUGUUUUUGUUUUUGUGUUUUUGUUUUUUGAGACGGAGUCUCGCUCUGUCGCCCA
rnacentral:lncRNA from 1 species